UACGGAGGGUGCGAGCGUUAAUCGGAAUUACUGGGCGUAAAGCGCGCGUAGGCGGUUUGUUAAGCCAGAUGUGAAAGCCCCGGGCUCAACCUGGGAACUGCAUUUGGUACUGGCAGGCUAGAGUACAGUAGAGGGUGGUGGAAUUUCCAGUGUAGCGGUGAAAUGCGUAGAGAUCUGGAGGAAUACCGAUGGCGAAGGCAGCCCCUGGCCUGAUACUGACACUGAGGUGCGAAAGCAUGGGGAGCAAACAGGAUUAGAAACCCGUGUAGU
rnacentral:rRNA from 1 species